UACGUAGGGUGCAAGCGUUGUCCGGAAUUAUUGGGCGUAAAGAGCUCGUAGGCGGCUUGUCACGUCUGCUGUGAAAACUCGGGGCUCAACCCCGAGCCUGCAGUGGAUACGGGCUAGCUAGAGUUCGGUAGGGGAGACUGGAAUUCCUGGUGUAGCGGUGAAAUGCGCAGAUAUCAGGAGGAACACCGGUGGCGAAGGCGGGUCUCUGGGCCGUUACUGACGCUGAGGAGCGAAAGCGUGGGGAGCGAACAGG
rnacentral:rRNA from 1 species